AAAUCUACAUUAACUCCUCGAACUCAGCCGAGUACGCACGCGCCUUCUACUGAACUAUCAACACCGUCAUCAUGCCCAAGCCUUGCUGCCAAGAGUCGUGCCCGUGUCCCGAGGAGGUUUGCUCCAGCAAGUGCACGGACUGCAAAGACUGCGACUGCCGCUCCAAGUGCGACAAAUGCAAAGAGAGCUGCGGCUGUGCGACCAAGGAGGCCUGCGCCGGCAACUGCACCUCUCCCUGCAGCUGCUGCCCUAAGUAACACCUACAGCUGUAAUACCUGCACCUGCUGCCCUAAGUAACCGCUGCAGCUGCUGCUCUAAGUAACCCCUACAGCUGUAACACCUGCAGCUGCUGCCCUAAGUAACCGCUACAGCUGCUGCCCCAAUUAACCCCUACAGCUGCUGCCCCAAGUAACCCCUGCUCUCAGCCCUGCUUCUCGCCUGGACUGAGCGCGACGCAAUGCACAAGGCGUUGGUCGCAUGUCGCAGUGAAGUCCACGGCCCCGUCCCGAGCCUCGUUCCUUUCCAACUUUUUUGUUAAGCUAGCUUAAUGUGUUGCAUGUGAUACCUACUUGAAAUAAAGUGUAUUUUCUAUUUAA